rnacentral:misc_RNA from 1 species
UCCCGGCGGAAGCGUAUGUCUGAGGGUUAUGGGCUUCGCUCAACCCUUCAGUACAAAUCCUAACUUGUUCAAUCACUGGAUUACUGCCGAAAAUUCGUGUGGCAAUAGUAGCAUCAGAUUUCAGGUCUGUUAUUAUGGGACCAGAGACUGCAUCAAUAUGAUUGUCUCAGGACGGGAGCGAAAGGACGCCAUCCUUGGAACGGUACCAUCUAUCAAGGACUUUCGAUACGAGUACGUUGAGAAAUUUUGAUCCACGCCUGCAAUCUUACUGACGGAGAUUGUCAAUGAUUAGAUUGUUUUUUUCUGCGGUCCUGAUCGCCGUGUGUGGUGGAAAUGCGAGUGCG